UAGCUAGUUGGUGAGGUAACGGCUUACCAAGGCGACGAUCUGUAGCGGGUCUGAGAGGAUGAUCCGCCACACUGGAACUGAGACACGGUCCAGACUCCUACGGGAGGCAGCAGUGGGGAAUUUUGGACAAUGGGGGCAACCCUGAUCCAGCCAUGCCGCGUGAGUGAAGAAGGCCUUCGGGUUGUAAAGCUCUUUCGGCCGGGAAGAAACCGCAUGGGCCAAUACCCUGUGUGGAUGACGGUACCGGAAUAAGAAGCACCGGCUAACUACGUGCCAGCAGCCGCGGUAAUACGUAGGGUGCGAGCGUUAAUCGGAAUUACUGGGCGUAAAGCGUGCGCAGGCGGUUUUGUAAGACAGGCGUGAAAUCCCCGGGCUCAACCUGGGAACUGCGUUUGUGACUGCAAGGCUAGAGUACGGCAGAGGGGGGUGGAAUUCCACGUGUAGCAGUGAAAUGCGUAGAGAUGUGGAGGAACACCAAUGGCGAAGGCAGCCCCCUGGGUCGAUACUGACGCUCAUGCACGAAAGCGUGGGUAGCAAACAGGAUUAGAUACCCUGGUAGUCCACGCCCUAAACUAUGUCAACUAGGUGUUGGGUGGGUAAAACCAUUUAGUACCGUAGCUAACGCGUGAAGUUGACCGCCUGGGGAGUACGGCCGCAAGGUUAAAACUCAAAGGAAUUGACGGGGACCCGCACAAGCGGUGGAUGAUGUGGAUUAAUUCGAUGCAACGCGAAAGACCUUACCUACCCUUGACAUGCCAGGAACUUGCCAGAGAUGGCUUGGUGCCCGAAAGGGAGCCUGGACACAGGUGCUGCAUGGCUGUCGUCAGCUCGUGUCGUGAGAUGUUGGGUUAAGUCCCGCAACGAGCGCAACCCUUGUCGUUAAUUGCCAUCAUUUAGUUGGGCACUUUAGCGAGACUGCCGGUGACAAACCGGAGGAAGGUGGGGAUGACGUCAAGUCCUCAUGGCCCUUAUGGGUAGGGCUUCACACGUCAUACAAUGGUCGGUACAGAGGGUCGCUAAGCCGCGAGGUGGAGCCAAUCCCAGAAAGCCGAUCGUAGUCCGGAUUGCAGGCUGCAACUCGCCUGCAUGAAGUCGGAAUCGCUAGUAAUCGUGGAUCAGCAUGUCACGGUGAAUACGUUCCCGGGUCUUGUACACACCGCCCGUCACACCAUGGGAGCGGGUUCCGCCAGAAGUAGGUAGCCUAACCGCAAGGAGGGCGCUUACCACGGCGGGGUUCGUGACUGGGGUGAAGUCGUAACAAGGUAGCCGUAGGGGAACCUGCGGCUG
rnacentral:rRNA from 1 species